rnacentral:rRNA from 1 species
UACGGGGGGUGCAAGCGUUGUCCGGAUUUACUGGGCGUAAAGGGCGCGUAGGCGGUUGUAUCAGUCGGGCUUAUAAGUGCGGGGCUCAACCCCGUGAUGGGUUCGGGACGGUAUGACUGGGGCGCGGUCGAGGGAGACGGAAUGCCGGGUGUAGCGGUGAAAUGCGUAGAUAUCGGGAGGAACACCUGUGGCGAAGGCGGCCCCCUGGUUGGAUACUGACGCUGAUACGCGAAAGCGUGGGGAGCAAACAGG